GCCAAUGACGGGCCAGCGGGCGGGGUAAUCCGGAGGGCGCAAGCGUUGUCCUGAAUUAUUGGGCGUGAAGAGGUCGUAGGCGGCUUGUCACGUCGGUUGUGAAAGCCCGGGGCUUAACCCCGGGUCUGCAGUCGAUACGGGCAGGCUAGAGUGUGGUAGGGGAGAUCGGAAUUCCUGGUGUAGCGGUGAAAUGCGCAGAUAUCAGGAGGAACACCGGUGGCGAAGGCGGAUCUCUGGGCCAUUACUGACGCUGAGGAGCGAAAGCGUGGGGAGCGAACAGGAUUAGAUACCCGGGUAGUC
rnacentral:rRNA from 1 species